rnacentral:lncRNA from 1 species
UCGUUCCCAAUGCUUCGUGCAAUGCUCCCAAAAAUGUGCGGUGAACUUCGGAUCACGGUCUGAUACAAUACUUGAUGGUACUCCGUGUAAUCUCUAAAGGUUGCAACACCCCAACAGGUCGCUGAUGUUCCACCUUGUACGGAACAUCCAUCUAGUACCAAACCUAAACGCUAAGUAUGACACCGACACAUUGAGUACAAUGUAUCAUUACCUAAUGAUAGGGCUUCCCAUCCAUACCAAGAAUGAUCUUGGGUUAAUGUAGAGGUAAACAAUCAAAUUAAUCGAGAAGUCCCUAUUCUGAAUGGUUAUUUGACAAUGUAAACAUGCAUAAUUUACUGUCAAAGUCUUAGCAGUAAAGCAGACACAGACAACUUCAAACGAUUUACAUAAUCCAUAGCAAUGAAGGAAUGGGUUGCCCCCGAAUCAGAAAGUGUAGUUAGGGGGUUACCUGUAAUCGCACAGUCAUAUUGAAUCAGAUCGCUAGAUAAAUCAGCGCCGACGCAAUACACCUGUCCUCUAGCAGUAGGAAGAGUAAUCCUAGCUACAUUCACCAUUGGUUCCACCUUCGGAGCCUUGCAAUUCCUUGCAAAGUGCCCUG